UUCCAGCUUUCCCAUAGCGUAUAUUAAAGUUGUUGCAGUUAAAAAGCUCGUAGUUGGAUUUGUGGCAGGUGCGUGCUGCCCGACACUUUGUGUUGGUGUUAGUGCGCGCCGCCAUCCUUGGGUGGAACCUGUGUGGCAUUAGGUUGUCGUGCAGGGGAUGCCCAUCUUUUACUGUGAAAAAAUUAGAGUGUUCAAAGCAGGCUUAUGCCGUUGAAUAUAUUAGCAUGGAAUAAUGAGAUAGGACCUUGGUACUAUUUUGUUGGUUUGCGCACCAAGGUAAUGAUUAAUAGGGACAGUUGGGGGUAUUCGUAUUCCAUUGUCAGAGGUGAAAUUCUUGGAUUUCUGGAAGACGAACUACUGCGAAAGCAUUUACCAAGGAUGUUUUCAUUAAUCAAGAACGAAAGUUAGGGGAUCGAAGAUGAUUAGAUACCAUCGUAGUCUUAACCAUAAACUAUGCCGACAAGGGAUUGGCGGGGUAUUAUUUUGUCUCCGUCAGCACCUUAUGAGAAAUCACAAGUCUUUGGGUUCCGGGGGGAGUAUGGUCGCAAGG
rnacentral:rRNA from 1 species